GUACACCCCAGAGGAGUGGCUCCCUGAGAACACACGUGCAUUGGCUCUCACCUUUUGUAGUUCCACUGCACCUGUGUUCUCAGGUCACCCCUUUGGGGCACCC
rnacentral:pre_miRNA from 9 species